CUGAGGGGGAGGGAAUGGGACACAUGAACGGGCUUUGGGCUGAGGAAAUGAGACACAAAGAGGGAAUUUGAGGGGGAAAUGAGACACAUGGAGGAGCUUUGGGGGGAGGAAAUGAGACACACAGACGGGCUGGGAUUUCUAGUUACGCCUCUGUGUAAACAAAAAUGGUCAAAUGGAACAAUUCUCCAAGUCACUAUGCUCUCAGUUUGGCUAUUUUGUCCUUAAAUCUGAAAAACACCCUAAAUUCUAGACGUUCAAUUAGUUUCGGUCCAAAUGUGAAUUCGGAC